GGGGCUGAUUAGGAUUCGACGGAGUACGCGAAACCCAAGGUGCAUGCCGAGGACGCGGUUGGCCUCGUAAAAAAGCCGCAUUUAAAGUAAUCGCAAACGACGAUAACUUCGCUCUAGCCGCUUAAUAACCGGUUAGGAGCCCUUCCACUCAUGUCUUGCCUGCUGGCAGAGGUUCGGAAGGUCAUACUCGCAGGAUCGUGUGGCGGCUUCGCUCGUAGCCAAAGCACUAAAUUUAAUCGAGCUCGCUACCUGAAAUCCUGUCUGUCGGAGUUCAACGUAGUUAAUUAAAAGACCAGACUAUGCAUGUAGGACCGAGGAUGUAGGUAUUACGGACGCGGGUUCAAAUCCCGCCAGCUCCACCA
rnacentral:tmRNA from 1 species